rnacentral:rRNA from 1 species
AGCGAACGCUGGCGGCAGGCUUAACACAUGCAAGUCGAGCGGGCAUCCUUGUGGUGUCAGCGGCAGACGGGUGAGUAACGCGUGGGAACGUGCCCUUCGGUUCGGAAUAACUCAGGGAAACUUGAGCUAAUACCGGAUACGCCCUUUUGGUGAAAGGUUUACUGCCGAAGGAUCGGCCCGCGUCUGAUUAGCUCGUUGGUGAGGUUAUGGCUCACCAAGGCGACGAUCAGUAGCUGGUCUGAGAGGAUGAUCAGCCACACUGGGACUGAGACACGGCCCAGACUCCUACGGGAGGCAGCAGUGGGGAAUAUUGGACAAUGGGGGCAACCCUGAUCCAGCCAUGCCGCGUGAGUGAUGACGGCCUUAGGGUUGUAAAGCUCUUUUCUCCGGGACGAUAAUGACGGUACCGGAGGAAUAAGCCCCGGCUAACUUCGUG